AGGGACAUCCAAUUGUCCAACCACCUUUACUGAAAAGUCUAUCUUCAUACUAUUGAUGUGCAGUGCCUCUUCUGUGAGUCAUCAUAGCUGGCCGUGCAUGGUGGUGGGCGCCUGUAAUCCCAGCUACUCAGAGGGUGAGAGAGGAAAAUCAUUUGAGCCUGGGAGGCAGACGUUGCAGUGAGCUGAGAUCACGCCACUGCACUCCAGCCUGAGCAACAGAGCAAGACCCCAUCUCCAAAACUAAUAAUAAAUAAAUAAAGUCCUAAGUCCA